CUUUUAAAUUAGCUACGGUAUGUAUAACACUUGAUGAAAUCUUGGCCAGAAGUAAAAUAAGUUCAAUGUGUCUCCAGAGCUCAAAAUGAUCUACACAAGGCAGAACUGGUAAAAAAAAAAUGUAGGUCAUUUGUGCAAAUAAAAAAUGAAUUAACUCAAUGAGUGCUUAAAACAUCUAGGCAUUUUUUGGCCAACCUAAGAACAUUUAACAUGCUAGACACAACUGCUUUAAUUCACAAAGCUGUAGUUUCCUCAUUGGAACUUUGUGCCUCCAUCUUGGCUCCCUGUCAGUCACUGUUAUUAGUUCUGUCCUUUGCACCUGUCAGUCAGUAUUGACUGAGAAUAGGGAGUUGAGGAGAGACAGAUAUAAUGCUUCUGGAUUUUCUCCCCCAAUGCAACGUGUGCCCUGACUGUGAGUGGAUUGAAGUCAGUCGACAAAUCUGUAAUAUACAUUUAGAAAAAAAAUGAAACAUAAUUAGAAUAUAAAACAAGUUAUAGAAACAUAGAAUGUGAUGGAAGAUAAGAACCAUUCGGCCCAUCUAGUCUGCCCAAUUUUCUAAAUACUUUUAUUAGUCCCUGGUCUUAUUUUAUAGUUAGGAUAGCCUUAUGCCUAUCCCACAUGCUUAAACUCC